rnacentral:misc_RNA from 1 species
UCCGAGUUGACCCCGGCAGUCUCCUAUGAGUCCCCGACAUUACUCGCUGGCAACAUAGGACGAGGGUUGCGCUCGUUGCGGGACUUAACCCAACAUCUCACGACACGAGCUGACGACAACCACGCACCACCUGUAAACCGACCGCAAGCGGGGCACCUGUCUCCAGGCGUUUCCGGUAUAUGUCAAACCCAGGUAAGGUUCUUCGCGUCGCAUCGAAUUAAAGAACAUGCUCCGCUGCUUGUGCGGGCCCCCGUCAAUUCUUUUGAGUUUUAGCCUUGCGGCCGUACUCCCCAGGCGGAACACUUAUCGCGUUGGCUUCGGCACAGACAGAUUCGACUCCGCCCACACCUAGUGUUCAUCGUUUACGGCGUGGACUAC